rnacentral:rRNA from 1 species
CCUACGGGUGGCAGCAGUGAGGAAUAUUGGUCAAUGGACGAGAGUCUGAACCAGCCAAGUAGCGUGAAGGAUGAUUGCCCUAUGGGUUGUAAACUUCUUUUAUAUGGGAAUAAAAUGUUCCACGUGUGGGAUUUUGUAUGUACCAUAUGAAUAAGGAUCGGCUAACUCAGUGCCAGCAGCCGCGGUAUUACGGAGGAUCAGAGCGUUAUCCGGAUUUAUUGGGUUUAAAGGGAGCGUAGGUGGAUUGUUAAGUAAUUUGUGAAAGUUUGCGGCUCAACCGUAAAAUUGCAGUUGAAACUGGCAGUCUUGAGUACAGUAGAGGUGGGCGGAAUUCGUGGUUUAGCGGUGAAAGGCUUAGCUAUCACGAAGAACUCCGAUUGCGAAGGCAGUUCACUGGACUGCAACUGACACUGAGGCUCGAAAGUGUGGGUAUCAAACAGGAUUAGAUACCCGUGUAGUC